GUUUAGUUACUCACACACACACACACACACACACACACUGCAGACACCGAGAGGGAAAAACCUUCAGCCGCCAUUUCCAGCCACACCUGAGUGACGUCACAGGCGGAAGCGGCCGCAGGUUCUCCCGAUGUCUUGGGUUCUGUGGACGGAACCCACAUCAGAACUCAGGCUCCAGCUGGACCGACUCAGGCGGACCGUGAACAGGGAAUCUCUCCAUAGCCUCAGUGUACAGAUGAUCUGUGACAGCGACUGCCUAAUUACUAAAACGGCCCGGCUCUGUCCAUGACUCCAGGAUCUUCGAGCGUCCUCACUGACACAGAGGUUUGCAGAAGGCAG